rnacentral:misc_RNA from 1 species
GAUGAAGAACGCGGCGAAAUGCGAUAAGUAAUGUGAAUUGCAGAAUUCAGUGAAUCAUCGAAUCUUUGAACGCACCUUGCGCUCCUUGGUAUUCCGAGGAGCAUGCCUGUUUGAGUGUCAUUAAAUUCUCAACUAUUAUCAGCUUUUGCUGAUAAUGGCUUGGAUAUGGGGGUUUAUUUUGCUGGCUUCUUCACAGAUUGUCAGCUCCCCUUAAAUGCAUUAGCCGGUGCCCCGCGUGGACUCUCUAUUGGUGUGAUAAUUAUCUACGCCGUGGACAUCUACAAUCAUAUGGGUUUGCACUGCUUCCAACCGUCUGUUUAUUCAGACAAUACAUGACAAUUUGACCUCAAAUCAGGUAGGACUACCCGCUGAACUUAAGCAUAUCAAUAAGCGGAGGA